rnacentral:piRNA from 1 species
UAGGAUCUGAUUGUGCCUAAGUGGUGUAC